rnacentral:rRNA from 1 species
UACGGAGGGAGCUAGCGUUGUUCGGAAUUACUGGGCGUAAAGAGCUCGUAGGCGGUCUGUCACGUCGGCUGUGAAAACCCGGGGCUCAACCCCGGGCCUGCAGUCGAUACGGGCAGACUAGAGUGCGGUAGGGGAGACUGGAAUUCCUGGUGUAGCGGUGAAAUGCGCAGAUAUCAGGAGGAACACCGGUGGCGAAGGCGGGUCUCUGGGCCGUAACUGACGCUGAGGAGCGAAAGCGUGGGGAGCGAACAGG